CUGGAGGCACUACCCGCCCUGGCAGCGAGGCUCGCUCGCAGGAGCCGGAGGUGGAGGCGCGCCCCCUUGUGGCCGGAAGCAGGACUGCCCGCAGGGAGCGGAUCUGCGGCAGCGCGUUCACCAAGGUCAACCGAACCACCCCCGCCUCUCAGAGGCCUGCUCCCCAGCUUUCCCUCACUCUCCGUUGGAGAGAGGGUGGUGGACGCUGAGGCAGGGGAGAGGACCCAGGGUUUUUCCUUUUUAGCUUUUGUACACCACCAGUCUCUCCGGCAGAGCCUGUGGGAGGCCCCCUCUGUGGGAAGCGUGGUCCACCUCUGACCCGGAAGUUCAUCUUGGACCCGGAAGCCUCUGAUCUCCUGUAUUUGUCAGCACUCCCACAGGCGGAGGAGGCCAUUUCUCUUUUCCCCAUGGCUCAGUGGUUCUGCGUUACUGCUUCUCAGCAUGGACGUUCUAGUGUUUUCCUUUCCAGUUUUAUUCCGCACUCUCAGUGUUGCAGAAACCUCUCAGCCCAGAAUAGAUGUGGGUCUCUCUCUUCAGUAUACUCUGCAGGUAUCAAUGACAAAUAUGAAGUAUCACCUGUGAAAAGGACAAUACAUCUGACUUCCAGGCUUCCAGAAUAUUCCUAAGAGUCCUUCAGCAGGUUGGACUCUACUGGUAAAGAAAGCAUUCAGAGUGUAAGUGGCUUGCCCAUGCUUCCCUGGGUAGUGAAUCAUGGCUUGUUCUGUUUCUUUGGCCUCUUCUCAUUUUUUCCAUCAAGCCACCUUGCAGGCUUAUGCUUUUCUGGCUAAGCAAAUGACCUCUAAGUACUUUCCCAGGGUCUUCAAUGAGUUGGUUUUGGUCCCAUCCCCAGCUGGUGGUGACUCACUGAGUACAUGACAUUGAGCAAGCUAUUAACCUGUACUCACAUCUCAGUUCCUUAAUUUUGAAAAUAAAGAUGACAAUAGAUGCCAGCUGCCUCACAUGGUGUUGUGAAGAUUAAUGAGAUGAUGCAGGGAAGUGCCCUGAG